AGAACGAACGCUGGCGGCGUGGAUAAGACAUGCAAGUCGAACGCGAUUUAUCAGGUUAGCAAUAACUUGGUAAAUUGAGUGGCGAAAGGGUGCGUAACACGUGGGAAUUUACCAAGAAGUGGGGAAUAGCUCGACGAAAGUCGAAUUAAUACCGCAUAUGAUCGCAAGAUCAAAGCCGGGGACCGCAAGGCCUGGCGCUUUUUGAGAAGCCCGCGGCCCAUCAGCUAGUUGGCGGGGUAACGGCCCACCAAGGCUAUGACGGGUAGCUGGUCUGAGAGGACGACCAGCCACACUGGAACUGAGACACGGUCCAGACACCUACGGGUGGCAGCAGUCGAGAAUUUUUCACAAUGGACGAAAGUCUGAUGGAGCGACGCCGCGUGGAGGAUGAAGGUUUUUCGGAUUGUAAACUCCUGUCACUGCAGACAAGGCAGUGCGUAUGAAUAGUACGUGCUGUUGAUGGUAUGCGGAGAGGAAGGGACGGCUAACGUCUGCGCC
rnacentral:rRNA from 1 species